UCCCGCGCUUGGUCUGGAUCCGCUAGGACCAGCCGGGUGUGGGGCGGGGCGGGGAGGCCACGUGGGCCGCGUGGAGAACGUGCCAGGCUCAUCACCUGGAUGAUCGUGCCUCAAUUUCCUCCUCGGCAAAUGGGGCUUCAGCGGCUCGCGAUGCACAUUGAUGGAGCCUAUGUCCAGGCGCCGGUGCACCGCCAGGAGCGAAAUAGACACAGUCCUUGCUCCUAGGGCUUAAGUCCCGGGCGAAGAAAACGAUCAGGCCUGGUGUCAGCCAUUGUUGGCAGGAGAUCAUCUGAGCAGAUUGUGUGGAUUUCAGAGGCAUGAAAACUACUGUGAGGAUUAAAUAACCAUAACAGCUGUGAUUGGACAAGAGACUGAUUUCAGUGACUUUCUCCUGAUAAGAGACCACCGACCAGCUGACCCCACCGACCAGCUGACCCGUUUAUAGAGCUGAUGCACCUGCAUGCCUUUGUGUCCUGAAAAGACCUUUUUUCCAUAAAGGCCUUAACUGUAAGACAGGUAAAUGUUAAGUCUCCACCCCAAAGUGAAUAUGGGUCAUUUAUUACAUGCUUUGCUCAAAAACAAGGCAUGUGUCAGGACCAUCUUCAUGAAUGUUCAUAGCUCCUCCUCUAACCUGUUAAAUAUGUAUGCUUAGUCAAUCCCUUCAGCAUAGAGCUCCUGCCCCAACCCCUCCUCCUUGGAAGUGCCCGUCUCUGGCCUUGGCUGAAGACAGAUUCCCGGCCUGAGACAGAUGGCUGCCACCUUG